CUGUUAUUACUACUACUACUACAGCUACUACUGCUAUUAUUACUACUAUUUUUACUAGUUCUACUGCCACUGCUAGUGCUAUUAUUGCUAAUACUACUACUGCUACUACUGCUGCUACUAAUAUUACUACUAUUAUUACUGCAUUAUAUAUAACACCACAAAAAAUCUUAUUUUAAUAGUAUUAUUAACUAUCUAGCAUUUUUUUUCUAGAUUUUCUUACUUGAAUUAAUUAAUCAAUUUAAG
rnacentral:lncRNA from 1 species